CUUAAAGAUGCACAAGCUGGUUUGCUUUGCUGUUGAGAGAACCUAAUUCUAGGAACAGGAGAUCUGAGUUUAGGCUUUGACUCUGUCACUAACUGUACAGUCUUCAAGAAGUCAACUCUUAAGCAUCCUCGGUCUCCUCAUCUGGCGGUGCAGGGGAUAAUGCCAGCAUCACCCCCCUGCACGCUGUCUGCUGGUGAGCUUUGGCCGAUCUGGUUUUGCACUCCAUGCUCCACGUUUGGUGAGCACCGGGGCUGUGCCAGACUCAGCGCUGGAGGUGGGACCCGCGAGCUCUGUUAUGGUGUAUCACGCGGUUGGCACGUCGAAAGCUUCCCACUCGGUCCUGUGGGGCCAAAUCUGAGGAGGGCUGUGCAAGAAGAUGAUUGGUUGGUCAGCAACUACCAAUGGUCCUCAACCUCGCCUGGGGCAUAGAAAGUGCAAGCCACAGAAAGAGACUGAACUUGGAAAUGCCCUUGCACUCCUACCUAAUGUGUGUGAGGGUGUGUAUGUGUGUGUUUGCCUUAAUGGAACCCUUUUGUUAAGAAAAGAAAAGAAGAAAAGGAAAAAAAAGAAAAGAAAAGAAAGAAAAAGCAGAAGAAAAGAGGCUCUCUCUGUCCCCCAUAGUUAAUAUUGCAAAGCCUUAGGGAGCAAUCUAUGCCCUACCUUGUGACCUAGAGCCCAGCAGGGGUUAUACAUACUUCAGGGGAUCCUCUUUGAAUUGCAUGAUUCAUUUUUUCUUCUUUAAGGUUGCUUAAAUGUUACCAAACUGCUAAGUCCCUGGACGGACGAAAGUCUCCGAGCAAACUGGUUAAUGUUGCCGAAGCCCGGAGAUGUGAGUCCUCACACAAGGAAGGGCCUGAUUGAUUCGGAGCCCUGAGCCCAGGGAACAAUGACCACUUUAUGUGGUAAAAUAAUUAACCUGGUAAAACAAUGAUGACUUACAGGAAAAAUGUGAGAAAAGUUUACUUCAACCAGGAAGACAUUGGUGAGUUCACUGUCGCCUUCAUGUACAAUCAGUGAUUGAAAACCUGAGCUCCUUGCUCCUAACGCAAAACCCCUCUGUCUAGAGCAGGGCCAAAAAAAAAAAAAAAAAAUUUGUUUGCUUCCUGAAAAACACAAAGCUUAUUUUUUCAGAUCUUAAAAAGAGAUGUAAUUUAGAAAAGGGAUAAUCACAAGCAACACUUUCUGCUGAGAACAAAAACCAAAGCAAAAAAAUAUUUAUG
rnacentral:lncRNA from 12 species